AGGUUAUAGACAUCCUCUUUGUAGCCCUUGUUGACAGUUAUAAAUUCACUGCUGAUCUACGAGAAAAGCAGCUGAAUCAAUUAACACACAGAUCACAGAUGUUGCCUUGCACCGAGGGGAAGGGUAAACAUGAAGAGAAACCUGUAUCAUUGCCUGAUGAAUGUAUAGACCUGAUUAAGCAAUUGCUGAAAUCCUCAGCACCUGCAUUUGUUCCGGA